GGAACUGCUUUUGGGUAACUGAGAACAGUUUAGUGGCGAAAGGGUGAGUAAUGCAUGGGUAACGUACCCCGGGCACCGGGAUAGCAGCGCCUGCUUCGGCAGGCUACCGAAAGGGCUGGUAAUACCGGAUGUGGUUGGUAGCACUGCGGUGCUUUUGAUCAAAGUUGGGGAUCCGCUUCGGCGGACCUGAUGGCCUGGGAGCGGCCCAUGUUCCAUCAGCUAGUUGGUAGGGUAAAGGCCUACCAAGGCGAUGACGGAUACCGGGGCUGAGAGGCCGAUCCGGCACAUUGGGACUGAGACACUGCCCAGACCCCCACGGGGGGCUGCAGUAACGAAUCUUCCGCAAUGGGCGAAAGCCUGACGGAGCGACGCCGCGUGUGGGAUGAAUUCCCUCGGGAUGUAAACCACUGUCAGGGUUAUGGAAACAAACCGCAAUAAUACAGCGGGGCGUAGACCUAGCCCAAAGGAAGCCACGGCUAACUUCGUGCCAGCAGCCGCGGUAAUACGAAGGUGGCAAGCGUUGUUCGGAAUAACUGGGCUUAAAGAGCACGUAGGCGGCCGGUCUAGCAUUUUGUGAAAUCCCUCGGCUCAACCGAGGAAUUGCGAGGUGAACUGGCCGGCUUGAGCUGCAGAUGGGUGACUGGAACUCUAGGUGGAGUGGUGAAAUACGUAGAUAUCUAGAGGAACGCCGGUGGUGAAAACGGGUCACUGGCUGCAUGCUGACGCUGAGGUGCGAAAGCGUGGGGAGC
rnacentral:rRNA from 1 species